rnacentral:rRNA from 1 species
AGGCAGCAGUGGGGAAUAUUGGACAAUGGGCGAAAGCCUGAUCCAGCAAUGCCGCGUGAGUGAUGAAGGCCUUAGGGUUGUAAUGCUCUUUUACCCGGGAUGAUAAUGACAGUACCGGGAGAAUAAGCUCCGGCUAACUCCGUGCCAGCAGCC